CCUACGGGCGGCAGCAGUGAGGAAUAUUGGUCAAUGGGCGCGAGCCUGAACCAGCCAAGUAGCGUGAAGGAUGACUGCCCUACGGGUUGUAAACUUCUUUUAUAAAGGAAUAAAGUGAGGCACGUGUGCCUUUUUGUAUGUACUUUAUGAAUAAGGAUCGGCUAACUCCGUGCCAGCAGCCGCGGUAAUACGGAGGAUCCGAGCGUUAUCCGGAUUUAUUGGGUUUAAAGGGAGAGUAGGUGGAUUGUUAAGUCAGUUGUGAAAGUUUGCGGCUCAACCGUAAAAUUGCAGUUGAAACUGGCAGGCUUGAGUACAGUAGAGGUGGGCGGAAUUCGUGGUGUAGCGGUGAAAUGCUUAGAUAUCACGAAGAACUCCGAUUGCGAAGGCAGUUCUCUGGACUGCAACUGACACUGAGGCUCGAAAGUGUGGGUAUCAAACAGGAUUAGAUACCCUGGUAGUC
rnacentral:rRNA from 1 species